UUUAAUUCGAAGCAACGCGAAGAACCUUACCAGGUCUUGACAUUGGUGGACAGAACUAGAGAUAGUUCCUCUUCUUCGGAAGCCAGAAAACAGGUGGUGCACGGUUGUCGUCAGCUCGUGUCGUGAAAUGUUGGGUUAAGUCCCGCAACGAGCGCAACCCUUAUCCUUUGUUGCCAACGAUUUGGUCGGGAACUCAAAGGAGACUGCCAGUGAUAAACUGGAGGAAGGUGGGGAUGACGUCAAGUCAUCAUGCCCCUUAUGACCUGGGCUACACACGUGCUACAAUGGCUGGUACAACGAGUCGCAAGCCGGUGACGGCAAGCUAAUCUCUUAAAGCCAGUCUCAGUUCGGAUUGUAGGCUGCAACUCGCCUACAUGAAGUCGGAAUCGCUAGUAAUCGCGGAUCAGCACGCCG
rnacentral:rRNA from 1 species